CUACCAUAGGCACUGGGAAUCUUUCUACUUUGUAAGCUCAGUUACCUUAUACGAACAAUUGUUUUUCUUUCUCACAAUAUCUAUUUGUUUCAUGUUGCUUCUGUAGCAUUCAAGAUUAAUGUGUCUUUCCUUUCAGAUCUGAGUACACAUUUGUUUUCUUCCUUAGGAAGAACUGGUAAGCAAUAUAUAAAUAAGAUACUUCCUAAAGCUGAAUAUUACUCAAGAAAACAAUACAAGUUUCUCCAAGAUGUCUUUCCCCAUACCCUCUUACAAAAGUUGUGUCAUCUCUACUUAAUUAGCAUUGAUGUGAUAUCAACUGACAAUUGUACAAGCUGUUCAGAGACCUUUGUGUUGCAAUGUGGUGUUACUUUUCAUUGUGGGAUGACUAGAUUUCUCUGCAGUACUGGACUCCAUCUUAACACAUUAAAAUUUAACCCAUUUAUCUUCUGGAAAUAAUAGGUGCUGCCAGAUAGAAACCUUUCUUCCAGGAUGAUUGUAGCUUGAAUAAUUGGGUAAAUGGCAAUCAUUUUAGAUUUUUUGGAUAAAAAAAAAUCUUAGGCAAUAGUUAGAAACUUCUGUAUAUAAAUUAAGUGUGCAGCAAGAAGAAAAAGGAAAGAAGAACAAAAAAGAAAAAUUAGAAUCCACUUCUCUUUGUGCUGAAGAUAUUUCAAGUUCUUAUUAAAGUAGAGAAAUCAUCAAAAAAUUUCAAGACAACUUACUAUUGAGUCAAGUAUACUAAAAAGUACUGUGUUCUCAAACAGAUAGAGUUUUUUUUUUUUUCCUCCUACUCUAAACAGUUGAUGAAUUCCUUCCAAUUCAAUGUACGUUUCAGAGUGGGAACAUUCCUGUGGCUUUGUGAAAACCAGCCAAACAGAGGGUGAUUCAUAGUAAGGUUGUUCUUUGUGGGGAUCCUGAAUUAAUCAAAAUAUUUAUGGAGAAAAUAAUGCAGGUGUACAACAUCUCAAAAGAACUGUAUUUUCCAAAUUCUUUUUAGGACUUGCUAUUUUUAUUCAUCUAGUUCUGCACAUGCGUUGUACGUGAAGUGAUACUGCUACAUGAAAGGAAUGCUGGAUGAGGCUUUGAACAACCUGGUCUACUGGGAGGUGUCCCUGUGUAUACCGGAGGGGGUUGGAGCUAGGUGAUCUUAACGAUCUCUUUCAACCCAAACCAUUCUAUUAUUCCAUGGUAUAAUCGUCUUGUCUCUUAUCUCUUGUUUCUUUUCUUGUCCUCUCUGAAGCUCAAAAAUUCUCUCCCUAUCCCUCUCUGCCAAAAGCAAAAUUAAAAAAAAAAAACAACCAAAACAUUAGCUUUGAAAUCCUAUACUAAUGUUCUAAUUUGACAAAUUAAUACCCAGUAACAAGGGGAAUACAACUUCGUAUAAAGGUGAAAUGCAAAAUGAAAACUCACUCCAAAGUUUUGUCUGAAUCCUACUACUAGUUCACUUAUUUUCCUGCUUAAUACAACAACAUAUUUUCAUUGUAACUUCUCAUUAUUAUCUUUGAAAACUGUGACUUUUACUCAAGAAAUGGAAUUUGUGUGAUGUCAGAUAUCAGAGAAUAACAUUCUUGAAGAUUUAUAAGGAAAAUUUAGUUUACAAAAGGUAGUAUUAUGGAUUAUACACACUUUUUUUAAUGCUUAAUUUUCCUUGCAGUUUGCUAGCUCAUGCUGAAAAACUCCAUUUUCCAUUUUAGUCCAUAUUUGAGGAAACCAUGACUUAUUACAGGUUCUGUUUGCAGCUAUGGGAAAGUGCACUGAAAGUUGGUUUUGAACUUUUUCUGAAAGCAGGCAGAAGUCUGUUCAUUCUCCUGUACUAUGGGAAAAAAGAAGUUCAAAGGUAUGUAACUUGGAGCCCUAUUUUCUAUUCUUCUUUCUUUAG
ensembl:lncRNA